rnacentral:rRNA from 1 species
GAUGAACGCUGGCGGCGUGCCUAAUACAUGCAAGUCGAGCGAACGGACGAGAAGCUUGCUUCUCUGAUGUUAGCGGCGGACGGGUGAGUAACACGUGGAUAACCUACCUAUAAGACUGGGAUAACUUCGGGAAAUCGGAGCUAAUACCGGAUAAUAUUUUGAACCGCAUGGUUCAAAAGUGAAAGACGGUCUUGCUGUCACUUAUAGAUGGAUCCGCGCUGCAUUAGCUAGUUGGUAAGGUAACGGCUUACCAAGGCAACGAUGCAUAGCCGACCUGAGAGGGUGAUCGGCCACACUGGAACUGAGACGCGGUCCAGACUCCUACGGGAGGCAGCAGUAGGGAAUCUUCCGCAAUGGGCGAAAGCCUGACGGAGCAACGCCGCGUGAGUGAUGAAGGUCUUCGGAUCGUAAAACUCUGUUAUUAGGGAAGAACAUAUGUGUAAGUAACUGUGCACAUCUUGACGGUACCUAAUCAGAAAGCCACGGCUAACUACGUG